GCCCAUCUAGUCUGCCCAAUUUUCUAAAUACUUUCAUUAGUCCCUAGCCGUAUCUUAUAGUUAGGAUAGCCUUAUGCCUAUCCCAUGCAUGCUUAAACUCCUUUACUGUGUUAACCUCUACCACUUCAGCUGGAAGGCUAUUCCAUGCAUCCACUACCCUCUCAGUAAAGUAAUACUUCCUGAUAUUAUUUUUAAACCUUUGUCCCUCUAAUUUAAGACUAUGUCCUCUUGUUGUGGUAGUUUUUCUUCUUUUUAA
rnacentral:lncRNA from 1 species